UUUUGGGAUUGAUGACCUAAAAGGGACAUUUAAUCUUAGCCUCUUAGGUAGCUUUGCAGGUUGAGUAGCUUUUGAGGUGAAACUUUUCAACCUUUCUAAGCAUGUAGACGCUAAUAUGAACUGUUUUAAGACUGGAGUUCAAUUCUCCACAUCUCCACCA
rnacentral:tmRNA from 1 species